UACGUAGGGGGCAAGCGUUGUCCGGAAUCAUUGGGCGUAAAGAGCGUGUAGGCGGCCCGGUAAGUCCGCUGUGAAAGUCGGGGGCUCAACCCUCGAAUGCCGGUGGAUACUGUCGGGCUAGAGUGCGGAAGAGGCGAGUGGAAUACCUGGUGUAGCGGUGAAAUGCGCAGAUAUCAGGAGGAACACCAAUUGCGAAGGCAGCUCGCUGGGACGUAACUGACGCUGAGACGCGAAAGCGUGGGGAGCAAACAGG
rnacentral:rRNA from 1 species